AGGGACAGGUCAGAUCUCCUAACUGAUGGCAGGUGUCUGCAUCACCUACAGUAAGACUACAUCCUGAAUCCUAGAUAUGGUACCACCUGCUGCUGCUGCCAAGUCAGGAGCCAAUGAGACCUGAAUUUGCUUUCAGAACAGCCAGUGGGGUUUUUUACUGUCCCACAGAACUGCACUCAACAAAGUUACUUGAAGGUGUUUUCACUGAAGCCAUUAAGGAUUUCCACAAGCAUGCUUUUGUGAUGACAAGCACCUGUAGUCAAGAAACACCAACAUUAAGAGGCAGUGUGGCUGUAAUGAGCACAGGUUCCACCUUGUUCUGCACCUUGUGCACUGGUUCUGGUCCCAAAGGUGUUGACUUCCAGUCGUGAUGCUGUUUAUGGCUCAUGAGCCAGGUAACUC